GACGAACGCUGGCGGCGUGCUUAACACAUGCAAGUCGAACGGUAAGGCCCUGCUUUUGUGCUUUUCUCGAGUGUCGAACGCGUGUGUAACACGUGUGUAACCUGCCCUUUUCUUUGGGGUAACUUCAUUAAACUGGGUCUAAUAUCGGAUAUGAGCUCCUGCUGCAUGUUGGGGUUUGGAAAGUUUCGCCGUUUGUGCAUGGACUCGCGGCUAAUCGUCUUGUUGGUGGGGUAGUGGCUUACCAAGGCUUUGACGGGUCGCCGGACUGAGAGGGUGACCGGGCACAUAGGGACUGAGAUACGGCCCAGAGGCAUACGGGAGGCAGCAGUGGGGAAUAUUGCAAAAAGGGCGGAAGGCGGAUGCAGCAACGCCGGGUGCGGGAUGACUGCCUUAGGGUUAUAAACAGCUUGCGCCUGUGAAGAAGAGUGAGUGACGGUAAUGGAUAAAGAAGCACCGGCUAACUACGUG
rnacentral:rRNA from 1 species